rnacentral:lncRNA from 1 species
CUUUGUUUGGUCUUCGAAGCAACGGUUGUUCCUUUCUCUCCACACGCACCAAACAAUGCAGCCCGAGAUAAGGUGCCAUGCUAGUUUGCUAUCCUUAUCCCGAAGUUUUCUAUGCCAUGCCCGUAUCACGUCCUCUAUACGACGAAUCAUCACCCAAUCCAUAGAUUGUGAACUGAUUAUAUUGUUCCAAAUCCAACGUACACCAUCACAAUGAAUGAACAAAUGAUCAAUCGUCUCCCCAUCCUUCUUGCACAUAUAACACCACUCGGUUGCAUAAAAGCCUUUACGACGAAGAUUAUCCACCGUUGAGACCUGUUCCCUCACAACUGUCCACAAAAGGAAUGCCACCCGAGGAGGCAAUUUACACUGCCAAACCAACUUCCAUGGGAAUGAAUUAUUCACACAUCCCAUGAGGGAACCAAAGUAUGACCGAACCGAGAAAAUGUCAUCCUGUGCUGUCCUCCACUUGAUGCAAUCCCUCUCUCCAAUCCGAAUUUGGGCCUCAUGUAAAAUGAUCAUAAACAGCGAAUAAUCUUCCAAUUCCCAAUCCUGAAGAUCCCUCCCAAAAGUUAUAUUCCAGCUAUAACUCCCAUUAUGAAUGUCUAAGAGAUCACUCACCAUGGCAGUGGACAUUGAGGCAAUACGAUACAAAGAAGGGAAUCUCUCCUUCAGCGGUUGAUCUCCGCACCAACAAUCAUCCCAAAAUUUAAUCUCAUUACCAUUUCCAACCACAAACUUCAGUUUGUCCAAAAAUGCACUCCAUCCCCGUCGGAUAUACCUCCACAAGCUCACCCCAUAAGAACCACGAUCCUCAAAUGUACACCAUCCCCCAUCGGUCACACCAUACCUCGCCCCAAUUAUUUCUCUCCAGAAACUGUCCCUCUCCACUCCAAAUCGCCACAACCACUUGCCUAAUGAGGCUUUAUUGAACAACACAAGGCUCCUCACCCCAAGACCUCCCAUCCUCAUCGGCAAACAAACAACUCCCUCCUCUCCUCUUCCAACCCUGCCCACAGAAAUUCUCUUUGAAGCCUCUCUAGUCUCUUUGCCACUGCAAUCGAAAUGGGGAACAAUGACAAAAAGUAAGUAGGGAGAUUGGAGAGAGUGGAUUUAAUGAGAGUAAGUCUACCACCCUUAGAAAGGUACAUACGCUUCUACCCUGCUAACCUUCUCUCCAUCCUUUCCACAAUACCAUUCCAGAUAUGGGUACUUUUAAAUCGUGUCCCUAAUGCGAGUCCUAGAUAUGACAUCGGCAACUGCGCAACCUUACAACCUAAUAUAUCAGCCAGCUCCUCGACAUUAUUAACCUCCCUAACUGGAAUAGCCUCAGACUUUCCCAAAUUAAUUUUCAAACCAGACACUGCUUCAAAACAUAAGAGCAGACGGUGCAAGUUCCUGAAUUGUUCUACAUCUGCAUCACAUAAAAUCAACGUGUCAUCUGCAAAUAACAGAUGAGACACUUGCAAUUGAUCAACCAUAAAACCCCUUAUCAAACCCGCUCUCACUGCUCUUUCAAUCAUCCUACUGAGAGCCUCCAUCACAAUGACAAAUAACAAUGGGGAUAAUGGAUCCCCUUGUCUCAAGCCUCUACUGCUUCGAAAAUAACCCUCUGGUGUUUCGUUGACCAAAACUGAGAAUGAAACAGUAGAAAUACAGAAUUGAAUCCAUUUACACCAUUUAUCCCUAAAGCCACAGCGCCUGAGCAUAUAUAACAAGAAACCCCAAUUCACAUGGUCGUAAGCCUUCUGAUAUCUAGCUUACAAAGCAUCCCUGGGGCCCUUAGGCACAUUCUUGAAUCUAUGCAUUCAUUCGCUAUAAGCACAGAGUCCAAAAUCUGACGCAUUUUUACAAAUGCAUUCUGAAACUUGGACACUACUUUUCCCAGUACCUCCUUUAAUUUGUUUGCCAGGACUUUCGAAAUAAUCUUAUACACCCCGCUGACAAGGCUAAUGGGGCGAAAGUCCUUAAUAUCAGUCGCUCCCGGUUUCUUAGGGAUGAGCACAAUAAAUGUGGCAUUAGAACUUCUCUGGAAUCUGCUACGUUCAAAAAAAUAAGAUAAAGUAUUCAAAAUGUCCAGUCGAACCACAUCCCAACACGCUUUGUAGAAUGAGAACGAGAAACCGUCCGGUCCCGGGGCCUUAUCAUCGUUCAUGCUGAAAACGACCUCCUUAAUUUCAUCCUUCCCAAAUGAUCUCUCCAUCCAUCGGGCAUCAUCCUCAUUGAUUGUAGAAAAGUGCAAUCCCUCCAAUUCUUGCCUCCAUUCAAAUUGCUCCUGAUAGAGGUUCUGAUAAAAAUUAACCAGUUGGCUUCCAAUUUCCUAUGGUUCCUCAUAAGUAACCCCGUCUACCUCCAAAGCUGUGAUGGAGUUGUUCCUCCUAUUAGAAUUGGCGACCCUGUGGAAGAAUUUAGUGCAUUUAUCCCCCUCUUUCAACCAAGUAACUCUAGAUUUCUGUCGUCAAUUAAUCUCCUCCAUCUCCACCAACCUCUCCAUCUCUUCCUUUAAUCCUCUAUGUCUCUCAUUCUCCUUCCCAGUCAACCCCUGACUCUCCUUCCGCCUAUCCAAUUCCUCUAUUUCUAACAGACACUGAUUUUUACUGCAGUUAACAUUGCCUACAACUUCCUCAUUCCAUUUCUUUAAGUCCCCUUUCAACGCCUUUAGCUUCUGAUCCAAUACAAAACAGGGAGACCCACUGACUUCAUAGGAAGUCCACCACGUCUGUACUCGCUCCCUAAAACCUUCUACUUUCAACCACAUCUUCUCAAACCUGAAAGGUCUUCUUCCACCACCCCUUCUAUUCCCCGAUAACAUAAUAGGAAAAUGAUCCGAGUAUACCCUCCCCAAUCUUCUCUGAGUGACAUCUGAAUAUUUAGACUCCCACUCCCCACAAAUCAAGAACCUAUCAAUACAAGUCAGAACGGGUUGAUCCCGGUUGGAUGACCAGGUAAAAUCUCCCCCAAUCAUAGGUAAAUCCACCAACAAAUUCUCCCUAAUAAAAUCUGAGAACUCCUCCAUUGCCCUAGUUAGUCUCCCAUCACUCGACCUCUCCGAAGGAAAUCGAAUCACAUUGAAAUCACCCCCAAUACAUGUAGGGAGAUUCCACCAAGCCCUCAUUCCAGCCAGUUCAUCCCACAAACCCACUCUACUGUCAUCAGAAUUAGGCCCAUAAACUCCUGUGAACAUCCACCGAAAUCCAUCCUCACAAUUUUUGAAAGAAAUCGAUAUAGAGAACACCCCUAUACUCACCUCCUUUAUCUCAAGCACUCUAGUGUCCCACAUCACCAACACGCCUCCUGAAAUCCCUGAUGACCCCAAAAACUGAUAUCCAACAUGAUCUCCCCCCCAUAAACUACGAAUCACUGCCCUCGAGAUAAACUCCAUCUUAGUUUCUUGUAGGCAAACAAGAUUUGCAUCCCAUCCCCUUAGCAAAUGACGAACACCAAGCCUUUUACUAACCUCAUUGAGACCUCUUACGUUCCAGCAAAUGAGUUUUGGCAUCAUUGUAACACUCCAUAACCCCUCCCCAUUGUUCCUUUCUUGGACUCGCCAUCCUUACCAGCAUAGUUUACUGACCAUUCGAGCCUCUUAAGCUCACGAUCACCCUUUUUUCUUAAUUUACUUCCAUGUGUACUGAUGUCUUGUCCCCUAUUAGCCUCCAACUCCUUGAAUAAUUGUAGCAAUCUACUUUCAUACCCAUCACAUGACACGCCAACCAACUUACUGAAUUCCUGAAUUUUUUGUAGCACCCAGUUUGAAGGUGGGUGACCAACUUCUAACACAAUAGCUCCUGAAGUAUCCUCACCCUGAUAGCCCUCGAGAUGAUCAAAGGACCGUUCUUUCUCUUCCACCACUGGUAUAAUGUCACUGUCACUUUCUCCUUUCUUGGCACCACCUACCCAUAACACCAAAGCUUUUUCGGUCCCCAUAUCAUUAUCUUUUGUCCUCCUAUUAUAAGUGUUCGUAAUACUUGAUAUCGUCUGUGUAGAGUUGUUUUCUUUCACAGUGUCCAUUGACAAUUUCUCCAAGUUCACCAUACUAAACUCCCCUUCCUUAGACAACGGUUCCUCUUCUCGUUCAACUGCAAUCCCCGUGUCUACUUCAAUUCGGUUGACCCCCACAAAGUCAACCCCGUCAUCGUUUUCAUGGUAUCCCGCUUCCAUCCUCACCUGAGAAUCACAAUGUUCAUCUCCUCCCUGCUUUGCAUGUUCUGUAAUUGAUGGUAGUUCCUCAUGAGUCAAUCCCGGUACUUG